AUAUAUAGUAACUCAAGUAGCUUCAUCCUUCAAGAACACCAUUCAUGAUUAAUCAACCAGCUGCCAUAGUUCUUAUAGAUCAGACCAAGAAGCUCUUACACUGGUAGUGAUUGAAGAACCUUAAUCAAGGUAGAGGUUCGAAUACGUUUCUGAUAAAAGUCGUUGACCAUAGAGAAAGUCUGAAUUAAUGAAUCAGAUAAUUAGGUCCUUGAGAAGAAAUUCUUCUCAAUCGUCAUCUUCAUCUGUUUCUAAUAGAAACAAAGAAUUAAUUAUAAACGAAACUAUAGAUCAUGAUUUAUGUAAUUGGAAAUUACCAAAAUCAAAACAGAAUGAAGUUUAUAAAUCUAAUUUCUCAUUGAAAUCUGAUUAUAUCAUUGAAACGGUUGAAGAAUCUAUGCCUAUAUCCCAAGGGUAUAGUACUUUUCAAUUAUUACCAGCGAAGCAAAUUAAGCAGCAUCAGCAAAAAUAUAAAUUUUUGCAUCUGGGUAUGGUUCAAGUUGCUUUGAAACCUGCAACCAGACUAGGUUUAAACACCUCUGCUUUAAUAUGUCUUCGUGACAAAAGAUUUUGCAAAUUUCAUGAUUCACUCCUUGCAGUUAUAGAAUCAAGUCUUUGUGAUGGGCCGAUAUAUUUUUCGUACUUUCCAAAUUUCCCUGUAUCAUUAAGUGAUCCGCAUAUUAUGGAUGUUUUAUCCUUGGAUAUUAAAUCUGAAGGUUAUGACAUGUUACCCGGGUUGGAAAAUUUCAUUCUUAGUUAUAGAAUUCAUUAUAAAGUAAUGAAUAAAAUUUUUCCUAAUAUCAAACAAAUUCAAAACUUGGAUGAUAGAGGAGAAACAACUUUAUUUAUUACAAAUAUUGCAAAAAGCAAUAAAAUAAUUUCAAAAACUAUUUCUUGGAAAGAAGUUAAAUUUCCUGAGCAAUGGAUUUUGAAAGACGAGCAAGAUGCCCAAGACCAGUUUGAAGACUAAAGCUAUAAGCUUCCAGAAAAUGACGCAUGCAAUGACGUUCGAAGCUUGAUGACGCAUGCAAUAGGGUAAAAGUCCGUAUUAUUGAAGUUAUUGUGAACUUCAAUUAUUUGUAAAAAGUUAGUGGUGCUAAUGGUACCUACAUUUUUUUUGUUGCUUUUCUUUUUCGGCUUUAUGUAGCUGCUUCUUGUUUUGUUGUUCAUGUCUUAGAUUAGAAUCUUAUCCCUCUCCUUUUGUAAUCAAUCUCUUGUAAUAUAUUUGCCUUAUUAAUAAAAGGAUAUUACAUUUCUGCUUG